CCUUUGCCCUGUGAAUGUUAUCAUGUCCAGUCUUCGCGAACAAAUAUUUGGGAAAGGUCAUUACCCUUCAAGCCUGUGCAGUGGAUUUUUUAGGUGAGACACAGUGUUGCUGU